rnacentral:rRNA from 1 species
UUGUUUUGUUACAAGGGCGUACGGUGGAUGCCUUGGCAUGCUUAGCCGAUGAAGGACGUGUGAGGCUGCGUUAUGCCUCGGGGAGUUGCCAACAAAGCGUUGAUCCGAGGAUGUCCGAAUGGGGAAACCUGGCACUUGUUAUGGAGUGUUACCUGCAGAUGAAUGUAUAGUCUGUGUGGGGGUUACGCGGGGAAGUGAAACAUCUCAGUACCCGUAGGAGAAGAAAACAAUUGUGAUUCUGCUAGUAGUGGCGAGCGAACGUGGAUGAGGCUAAACCAUGCGUGUGUGAUACCUGGCAGGGGUUGCGCGUGUGGUGUUGUGGGCGAUGAUUGUGGGUAUGCUGCCAUGUACCCCUAUGAUGCGGCGUGUUAGCGGAAGUCACCUGGGAUGGUGUGCCGGAGAGGGUGAGAGCCCCUGUACGUGAAGGCGUGUCGUGUUGUGGUGAUUGUUUGCCCGAGUAGCAGUGGGCUCGUGGAAUCUGCUGUGAAUCUGCCGGGACCACCCGGUAAGCCUAAAUACUAAGUGUGACCGAUAGUGAAUAAGUACCGUGAGGGAAUGGUGAAAAGUACCCCGGGAGGGGAGUGAAAGAGUUCCUGAAACCGUGCGCUUACAAUCCGUCAGAGCACCGCGUGUGUGUGAUGGCGUGCCUUUUGAAGAAUGAGCCUGCGAGUCAGCGGCAUGUCGCGAGGUUAACCCGUGUGGGGUAGUCGUAGCGAAAGCGAAUCCUAAUUGGGUGUUGUAAGUGGCAUGUCCUGGACCCGAAGCGGGGUGAUCUACCCAUGGCCAGUGUGAAGCAGCUGUAAGAGGUUGUGGAGGCGCGAACCCACUUAGGUUGAAAACUGAGGGGAUGAGUUGUGGGUAGGGGUGAAAGGCCAAUCAAACUCCGUGAUAGCUGGUUCUCCCCGAAAUGCAUUUAGGUGCAGCGUUAUAGUAGUUUGCCGGAGGUAGAGCUACUGGUUGGUUGAGCGGGACUAUCAUCUUAGCAACAUCAGCCAAACUCCGAAUGCCGGUUAAGUGUUCUAUAGCAGUGAGACUGUGGGGGAUAAGCUUCAUAGUCGAGAGGGAAACAGCCCAGAUCGCCGGUUAAGGCCCCUAAGGGUGUACUAAGUGGAAAAGGAUGUGGGAUCGCGAAGACAGCCAGGAGGUUGGCUUAGAAGCAGCCAUCCUUGAAAGAGUGCGUAAUAGCUCACUGGUCGAGUGGUUCUGCGCCGACAAUGUAGUGGGGCUCAAGUACACCGCCGAAGCCGCGGCAUAGUUUUUACUAUGGGUAGGGGAGCGUCGUGCAUGGGGUGAAGCCAUACUGUAAGGGGUGGUGGACUGUGUGCGAGUGAGAAUGCAGGCAUGAGUAACGAGAGAUACGUGAGAAUCGUAUCCGCUGGAUGACUAAGGGUUCCUGGGUCAAGUUCGUCUUCCCAGGGUGAGUCGGGUCCUAAGGCGAGGCCGACAGGCGUAGUCGAUGGUCAACGGGUUGAUAUUCCCGUACCCGUAUGCAUGCGACAAAGAGUGAAGCGGUGAUACUAACCACCCUGAACUGGCAACAUGCGCAUCCUUUUGGGUGUGUGGUUGUUGGUGAUGCGUGGGGCCUGAUCCGUGGUAGUUCAGUGAUGGGGUGACGCAGUCAGGUAGCCGCGCCAAGUGUUGGAU